rnacentral:rRNA from 1 species
GACAGAGGUCCCGAGCGUUAGGCGGAAUCACUGGGCUUAAAGCGUGUGUAGGCGGAUCGUUAAGUGCCUUGUGAAAUCCCACGGCUUAACCGUGGAACUGCUUGGCAUACUGGCGGUCUUGAGCCACUUAGGGGCUACCGGAACAAAUGGUGGAGCGGUGAAAUGCGUAGAUAUCAUUUGGAACGCCAAUGGUGAAAACAGGUAGCUGGGAGUGUGCUGACGCUGAGACACGAAAGCCAGGGGAGCGAACGGG